UAUUCAUUCAUUUAUCAUAGAACUACCUAAAGUACCAGAAAAAGUAAAAGCUAUGUUAAAUGAAUGAAUAUCAAUGAUGGAAUUGUCAGAAGUGAUCAAGAGA